rfam:Haemonchus contortus, ISE/inbred ISE, WGS project CAVP01000000 data, contig: Hcontortus_33774
CAUUGUCCGAUCUGGAUGUUUCUCUGAGUCAUACUCGUUGUGAUAUGACUAGAGACACAUUCAGCUUGGCUACGUG